rnacentral:lncRNA from 1 species
CCUAAGUUUGCUGGAGUCUCCAAGAAAAAUUGGGAUGGUUCCUCCAAUCUUGGUUAUGUGAUUAAGAAUGGUUCAUUGACAGAAUUGGAGUAACCUUGGACAACAUGAACUUGUUCUUGGAUGAAAGGUGAAAACUAUGCAGUUGUGGGAUAUUCACUCACAUGAUGGACUGGACUAGCACAGAUAAAAUAAUUUUUCUGAUAAUUGAGAGGUGGUGUGUAUUGCAUAGGAGAUUGUAGACCUAGGGCUAGGAUUUAUUUAUAAGAAGGUCG